rnacentral:rRNA from 1 species
UACAGGGGGUGCAAGCGUUGCUCGGAAUCAUUGGGCGUAAAGCGCACGUAGGCGGUUCGUUAUGUCGGAUGUGAAAGCCCUUGGCUUAACCGAGGAAGUGCAUCCGAAACUGGCGAGCUAGAGUACGAAAGAGGAUCGCGGAAUUCCCGGUGUAGAGGUGAAAUUCGUAGAUAUCGGGAGGAACACCGGUGGCGAAGGCGGCCAUCUGGACGGAUACUGACGCUGAGACGCGAAAGCGUGGGGAGCAAACAGG